GCUAGCUCAGUUGGUAGAGCAUGAGACUCUUAAUCUCAGAGUCAUGGGUUCAUGCCCCAUGCA
rnacentral:tRNA from 1 species